UCAAAUGCAAAAUUUGAUCAAAAACUCCCUUAGUUGAAGAGAAAACCCAACUAAAAGUUCCUCACACAAAUCCUUCAUCCUAUUUCCCUUAAGAAGUUUCCUUUUGUGAAAGAAGUCCAAAGUUUGAUCACAAGACCUUCUGAGUUCCUUAAGUAGCGAUUAGACGCUUGGGGAAAAUGGGGCGAUUCUCUAAAUAAAUGAAUGUUUUAUUUUCUACCGCUUUCUCAAAAGAAAUAAUGUAAUAUAUUUUGUUCAGCUUUAGUAUUGUAAAAAUAAUAAUUUCAAUUUCUAAUAAAAGUAUUAUUCAGACUUA